CAGGAAAUCGUUAUUGUAACGUUAAACAACAGCAGAGCCCGUGCUGUUCAAGUCGUAACUCCGUGGGCUGUAAAACGAGGGACGAAGUUUUAGCCCUAGUUGGCUGCUGAAAAUAAGGAAGGAGCCACAUUUCUCAGCUUGUCCAUUAUUGCAACAACUGUUUGAAGAGAGAAACAGAUUACUGGCCAGUGUCUUCAGAAAUUCCCUCUUUCUACACAAAACAAGGCAGGAGAUUAGAACUAUGUAAAAUGGAGAGACAGUGAACCGAGCCGUUCACUCCUGUUCCUCAUUGUGGAUGUGACGUAAGCAACUACUCCAGGCUCCUUUUGUCUGCACUGACCUUCCAUGAUGAACUACACCUUGAACUGGGAGCAAAGAUACAGCCUUUCUCCUUCAAUUACGAUCACCAGAGUGUUUUAUCACAGCAAUAAGAAACUGAGAUCGCUUACAAAGGAAAACAUACUGUGACCCAGCCACUUCUAAAUAUUUAUAUGGGAAAAAUUAAGAUUUAAGUCCGCAAAGAUUGUAUAACACAGGGAAAGAUUGUGAUGUGUUAACACAAUGGAAUGCAAUUCAGCAAUAAGAAGAGACAGUGCUGAUAUGCACAGAAUGGAUGGACUUCACAGGCUUGGUGCACAAAGAAAGCAAUUGAAAGAGGUUGUGUCUCAUAAAUCCAUUCACAUAAAUCUAGGGACAAGGCCAGUGAGAUGGCUCAGCAAACAACAGCACUUACUUGCCACUGAACCUGAUGGCCUGAACUCUGUCUCCGGGAUCUACUAGAUAGAAGGAAAAAACAAGCCCAUGACAUGCGUUCCCCUCUUCCCACCUACAUACAUAAAUAAAUGCAAUUAAGAAAUGU